rnacentral:lncRNA from 7 species
AGGACCAGAAGAACAGAGGCAUUGGAAGCCAAGUCUGCACAACACAGAGUGGGACACAUGGAGAACCUUGCUAUACAGCACAUUUUUUUACAGAUGUGACUGGUAUACCUGAGCUUAACUUCCAUGUAUAUUUUCAGAGUAAAAUCUGAUCCUUGGGAGCCAUUCUUUCUGCUCAAAGCAAAGAUGUGAAGAAUAUGGGGAUCAGCUUAAACUGGUGAAGCCAGUGUUCACACAUACUCACAGAACAACCUUCAGGCCCAUGUCUCCUUGAGAAUACGGCAGCAGUCUUUGACAUUUCAAGUAAUGAUUUUACAGUGUCAAAUGAUAGCCCUGAUAACUUCAAAAUUUUUGCUACUUUGUUCAGUUACUUCUAUGCUUGCUGUCAUGAUCAGAUGUGAAACAAAGUGACUGUGAAACAAGAGAAAUAGCAAAGACUUCAAACAUUUUCGCUAACACUUCUGAAUUUUAAAUCAAAGCUACAAUAUUUUUGUUUUGAUAUUCAAUUACUGUUUUUCUAUCCCUUAAUUAUUAAUUUCUGACCUCUUCACACACACAUGGGUUUUCUGAUUUUCCUCAAUAGCAAUUUGGUGUAGACCACAACAGUUACUGAGGAGUAACAGUAUGUAAAAACUACAUGUUGAAUAAUAUGUGGAAGUUUUUCCGUAGUUCCCCUGAAGGCAGUAUCUCCUAAUUUCAUUGUCUUUAUAUCAUGCUACAAAUUAUUGAUAAAUUUGUGGUGUUGAUAUGACUCAAAGAAAAAACAAUGUAAGGCAAUGUAUUGUGCAUUAUGUAUUCCAGUGUAAUUUCAUCUGCAUCUCUAAGUUUUUUUUUGUGAAGGCAAGGAAAACUUGUAAAAGAGUCUAUCUUACACUGUCAAUGUUGAUUCUGUUUUGUCUUUCUGGUCUCAUAUCAAACAGAUGAUUUUUCAGAUUGGGCAACAAAGAACAAAAAGAUUUGUGUUAAAACAGCCAGUGAGGUAAGGUUCUGAAAGUACAGCUAGGUGAUAAUGCCUUUAGUAUUAAUCCUCUGAAAAUCUACAUUCUCUAGGAAAGUCUGAAAGAAAGAUUGCAUGGUAUUUAAUAUAAGGCAACUAAACUGAAAUUGUGCAGCAUCUUCUAUUACUUUCCCAGUAUUCUUCUCAGUUACAAGGCUACUUUCUGUAACUGUUAUAGAUGCCUUAAGUGUUUACACUUCUCCUUAUGAAAUGCAGAUUGCUGGAAGUUAUUUAUCUCUGUAUUUAUAUAUGACAUCUAGUUACUCCUAAAAAAAGUCAACUCCUGCUAUUCACCAUACUGCUGAUAAUGUACUCAUUAUAUCCAUAUUUAUAUUUUGCCCUUUAAUGGUAUUUGCUAUUUCUUAAUGACAUUUACACAACAUAUUUACAUUUAUUUGCUGCAUAACAUUUAGUUACCACACAUGGAGUGCUCUGCCUUUACUAGAAGUCUACAUCAGAACAAAUGAGGCUUUACAAUAAGAAGAGGUACUGAAAAAAGUUCACUAAAAACAAAUAUUGGAACUAACUGAAUACAGUUUGGUGACUAGAUUUUGACUGCAAUCUACCUCACUGUUGUAAAAAUCUUAUAUUGUCCUAUGUGUUAGUGAUAUUUUAGACUAAACUGUGUAUAUGGAACUAUGGAAAUCGUUUAAGGAAAUCUAAAAAUAUUAAUCUUUUAAUCAAAACUUAUCCUCAUCCCAACUGAUUAAAAAAAAAAAACUUGUAAAUGAAAGAGACAUCUUGUAGAAUGAUAUAAAAGCUGUCUAUUCUUUUUGAGAAGCUUUAUUUUUCAGCCAUGUAGCAUUUUCAAUUCAUUGUGCAUUAUAUUUUGUGGAUAACUUUAGUGUAUUUCCAUAUCACUGUAAAGGAAAAAUCAUUAAUUGUUUCAUAGUCCAAAGGUUUUGAGGCACCGCAUCUUCGUUUGAGAUCAAUAGCCUCAGAACUAAGUUGUGCCGGUUAGAUUAUUUGAUUUAAGUUUAAUGAGAACAGUUUGCAGACCUACAUAGUAUCACCUAAACAUAGAUUUACUCUUAAAAUUGAAAUAACAAACUAAUUAAACUAGUCAUCUUUCCAAAAAUAUAUGUAUAGUGGUGGCAAAAUAGUGUGCUAUAUUUCCCAUGUUCUUUGAAGCUUUAAGAGUAUGUAGGGUUCAAUCUGAUCUGAUUAGACUGAGCAUAAGAAAGAGGAGGUCAAAACAUUCACGCAACUCUCCAGCCAUACUUCACAGAGAAAUAGUUUCCAGACAGGAGAAAGUAUAAACAGCAGACAAAUAGAAAAUUGAAAUCAUCCUGGUCAAUGUAGAAUACUGUUCAAGUAUUGCAUGUUACACAUCUCGCACACUCAAAAAUGUGUUUCAUGUGAAGUGGAUAAAUUGUUGCAACUUUCAAGGCACCUACAGAAGCUGAAUAGUCUGAAAUAGCACAGAAAACAAUAAAUAAAAUUAUUUUUACAAUUUGCAUUCUAAAUAAUAAGGUUAUCUGUUUUACUGAUUAAAAAUGCAUAAAGAUUCUUUGUCAAUUAGAAAACUGCACUGUGUUAUCACAUAGUAUUGUUACAAUCUCUUCCAAGACUAUGAUUUCUUCUUCUUACUUAGCCUAUGCUCUGUCAAUAGCACUGAGAACCCCUUAUUUUAAAUGAAAAGGCACUCUGGAACUAAUACUUAUGUUGAAAUUCUAAUUUGAAUGUGUUUUUAUAAAAUGAUAAUAUCAGCAAUGUCACACCAUAUUAG